CCACAACCUAUUUUGCAGUUGUCGAUUUUAGUCUUAGUUUUAAAACAUGGUGUUUUCACAGAAGUAUGGUAUCGUUCGAUUAACACUGGAGAACAACCGCAAGGAUUUAUAGUCUUAUACGCAAUAGAGAACGGCACAUUCGGGGAACAGGCAAGAAAAAUUUAUCCCCGCGAUGAAGCUAAGUGGAAUUUAGCCAAAGCAAUUGUUGCUGAGUUUUCAUUUUUAAAAAGCAAUUUUGGAGAAUCUGGAUGCGAGACUUUGACAGACAGGCUAGGAAAGGAUUUCUAGAAACACGCUUAUGGAAUGCUCGAAAGAAGAUACUUUCAUCUCAAAAAAUACCGCAAAACUAAAAAGGGGAAGCUGUGUCCUAAAUCAACCGAGCAGUACUCGGAUAUGAAAAUUCUGAGUAAAGAAGAUUUAAACCGCAAAGCAUAUUUAAUGGAAUACAAGAUGCCAAAUUAUGCAGAAAAAGAGAGAGUGGAUUUUAAGGAAGUCACCGACUAUCACAGAAAUUCACGACAAGUAACCUAGACUUUUUGAUUAUAACUGUGAAAUGGUGAG